CCUACGGGCGGCAGCAGUGGGGAAUAUUGGACAAUGGGGGGAACCCUGAUCCAGCGACGCCGCGUGAGUGAAGAAGUAUUUCGGUAUGUAAAGCUCUAUCAGCAGGGAAGAAAGACAUGACGGUACCUGACUAAGAAGCCCCGGCUAACUACGUGCCAGCAGCCGCGGUAAUACGUAGGGGGCAAGCGUUAUCCGGAUUUACUGGGUGUAAAGGGAGCGUAGACGGCGAUGCAAGUCUGAAGUGAAAGGCGGGGGCCCAACCCCUGGACUGCUUUGGAAACUGUAUGGCUGGAGUGCAGGGGAGGUAAGUGGAAUUCCUAGUGUAGCGGUGAAAUGCGUAGAUAUUAGGAGGAACACCAGUGGCGAAGGCGGCUUACUGGACUGUAACUGACGUUGAGGCUCGAAAGCGUGGGGAGCAAACAGGAUUAGAUACCCUAGUAGUC
rnacentral:rRNA from 1 species